CUUCCCUUUAGCCAAAGAUGAUACUCUUACAUAAUUUGAAUUUUGUCAUGACAUCUUGUGAUAAUUUUUAACUUUAAGUGUCUGAGCCAGGAAUUUGGCAUGCUCAAAUGCCUGGUCAGAUACACCAGGAGUCUAGACUUCUGCAGUGACCAUCUGUGUGGUGUUCUUACUUUAAAAAAAAAAAAAAAACAACUGAACUGUAAUGCAGAAAUAAACGUCUACAAAAUACAGUGGCUUUAGUGAGUUUUUUGUUUUUAUUCAUGACUUAUUUCUUGUUUUUCCAUUCUUGGUUUUGUGUUGUUUUUUUUUUAUUAAUAAAACAUUCCUCUGGGUAUUUUGUGUUGCAUUUUUAUAUUUUUGCUCAUUUCUAACUUUGAACUCCUUUAGAAUGAAGAUUAUUUUUGGCCUUUGCAGUCUCAAGUGAUGGAUGGGAGUGAUAUUCAUACAUCACUGUAGUAAAACUUCCAUUUCUUUGUCCUCUUCUCAGCAAGUCCCAGCAGAAGUCCUCUUUUCACUCUGGACUGAUGUCCACCCAUCUAGCAGGUCUGCUGCAUGCUUGCCCCUUGUCAUGCAUUGAAUGUUGCAUCCUGUUUCCACUGUCUGCAGCUACACUUGCUAAGCCGUGGAUUGGAAGCAGUGUGAUUUAAGGGGAGGGGGCAAAUGCAAGUUUAAAAAGCUUUGUCCUAGACCCUUUCCAGAGGUGAGACUGUUCUCAGCCUCAGAUCCUAGGAGAUGGUGUAUUUCAUAGGUUUGACAGUUUCUGAAAUUCGCCAGAGGAUUUAGAGUGUUAAUACUACAUUCCCUCUGGUUUGUAGACUCUCUGUCCCCGUUAGUCACCUCUCCUGUCGCUCCACCCCUUCUUUCGUUCGCUCGGGCCUGUCUCAAGGCUUGAUGCUUUGGUGUGAGCCUUCUCACCCCUUGCAGCUCUGCAGAGGGCCGGUGAUGGAGAAAGCUACUUAUGCUGAGCUAGAGAAUUUCAGUUUGUUACUUGCAUCUUUGGCUAUCUCACCUUGCAUAAAAUAUGAAAAAUACAAUUCCAAGUAACUGUUGCAGUGAAUGUAUCAAGAAGACCUCACAGCCAGAAGAAUUCAGCUUUGUAGUAAUGCAGAACAACCCUUGAGCUAGGGCAGUCUAGUCCCGUGUGUGUGUGUGACACAGCGGCAGUCUGGCGUGGGACGGACGGUCUUACUGGGGUAAGAGCAGUAGGAUGGAGUCUCCCAGCUGCUGCUUCCUUUUGUGCUGUUGAAAAGAGACAAGGGUCUGAGGCUGAAGAGCAGUCAAUGGUAGCUGAGAAGGGUUUGCUUAUAAGCUGAGAGAAUUGGCCUGACCACUGUCACCUGGUUUGUGAUGCUGACACUUUCUCUAUAUGACAGGUAUCUGAUCCUUACAGUCUAAAAUGCUGACUAGUGCUCCCUUCCUGAGAGGAGGGGAAGCUGCUGUAGGACUGAUAAGGGUAGAACUGAGCCAGUGACAGGGGUAGGAGCCUUUCUGCAUGCCCUGGCUGGUAAAGGGGAGGCAGCUUUCCCUGCAGGGUAAGGGCAGAAACCUGAGUGGAAGCAUUUGUCUGCUGUUCCUGAUGGGGAGAGGAGAGGGCAAUUUCCUUCUGAAGCUCACACGAAGGAGGACUAUGUUGCCUUGCACUUACUGCCUGCCCUCACCAGUAGUAAAUGUCUCUGAGUUCAUGCUGAGUUUACCUUAAAGCUGUUUGUACGCCCAUGCCAGUGAUUCAUGCGCGGUUGUAAAGGAAGGGGUAAGUAUUACGAAUGUGGCUGAUGCUGCUCACGCCAGCAAGCAGUUCAAGGAAAAGGGGAACCUCUGAUUUAAUCUUUGGAAGAUGUGCCUCAGGGGACGCUAAGCCUAGAGGGAAGGAAGUGUGAUACGUAUCCCUGUGUGCAGUGGUGGUCGACAUUCAUGAGCGAAACUAGCUGGGUUUGCUUGGACACCUGCUUUGAUGGCUAAGGCCUGUAGUAAUUUCAUUCAAAGUAGCACGCUGGCCAUAGGUACAGAGGCAACCCACCUGCUAUUUCCCUGCUUUAGUGAACAGUUACCAUGGGGUAUGUGCAGUGGGGCUUUCUGGCUUGUGCUGCUAACCUUCACUGUGCCUUGAGGGUAUGCUGCAGUUAUUGCAUUUUUUUUCCCCCUUGAUGCUUUCUACAUGUACUCGGCCUCCAGCCUCUUCUAAAUGACAAAAUGUGCCCUUGGUUUUCUAGGAGAAAUAGAAGCAAAGGGAUUAGUUUAGCACAGAUCCAGAGGAGGGUAGCUCCUGGUGUCAGUCUGUUGAACCCGGCUCUCUUUGCAAAGACAAGACUGCCUAUUCUCUAGUGGUGCAAAAUAAGCUACUAAUCUGCCUUGACAAAAAAAUAAUUUAUUAGCAGCAAAGAGUCUUUGGCUUUGCUCUCUAAAGCACAGGCUGUGAUGAAGGGAGUCUGAUUCAUUGCUUGGUGCCUGAUUGCUGGUUCAGCUGAGGCUGCUAUCAGGGCCCAAAAGAGAUCAGUUUGCAUUCAGAUAUUUCAGCCUCUUAGUCUGAUAGAUUUUGGCUGGGGCUUCCUCUACUGUCAGGGAGAAAUAUUUAAACAGCUCUUGGCCAGAAACUUGCCUUGCUCUGGAGCACAGAUGUAGAAAUCCUUGCGUAGUGACUAGAGAGCUAAUGCUGCUAGACCUGAAGGCUUCUAGCCAGCCAGUGUGGAGCUGGCACCUGUAAAGUUAUAUACUGUGUUACUGUAAUCCAAAGCAUAUUCUGUUGUGCUGUGGUAUUUCAGACCAUUAGCAUAGUACCUUUUAAUGGGGUGUGCCUAAUGUUUCUCUCUCUCUGGCAGGGUGAGCUUUCUCUUUUCUAGGAUUCUCUUAAGCCUUUAUUAGGAGUUUUUGGAUUUGUGGCCUGAAUUCACCUCUUCUGCCAGUUUCUCUUCCAGUGCAGCUGAACAGCGUGAACCACAAGGAUUUCCUGAAAUAAGUCUUCUAGGUGUGUUUGAGGUCUAUUUUCCAACUAUUCUAAUUAUAAACUUCCAAGGCCUAAUAAACAACUUUCUGUACAGUC